AUUGAACGCUGGCGGCAGGCCUAACACAUGCAAGUCGAACGGUAGCACAGAGAGCUUGCUCUCGGGUGACGAGUGGCGGACGGGUGAGUAACGUCUGGGAAACUGCCCGAUGGAGGGGGAUAACUACUGGAAACGGUAGCUAAUACCGCAUAACGUCGCAAGACCAAAGUGGGGGACCUUCGAGCCUCACACCAUCGGAUGUGCCCAGAUGGGAUUAGCUAGUAGGUGGGGUAAUGGCUCACCUAGGCGACGAUCCCUAGCUGGUCUGAGAGGAUGACCAGCCACACUGGAACUGAGACACGGUCCAGACUCCUACGGGAGGCAGCAGUGGGGAAUAUUGCACAAUGGGCGCAAGCCUGAUGCAGCCAUGCCGCGUGUAUGAAGAAGGCCUUCGGGUUGUAAAGUACUUUCAGCGGGGAGGAAGGCGGUGAAGUUAAUAGCUUCACCGAUUGACGUUACCCGCAGAAGAAGCACCGGCUAACUACGUGCCAGCAGCCGCCGUAAUAC
rnacentral:rRNA from 1 species